rnacentral:lncRNA from 1 species
AUUUCGAAUACAAAAUUUAAGCUCAUUAUUUUUUAAUAAAUAUUAUAAUUACGUAAAUUACAUAAAAUAUACUAACUACUCUCGUAAAGAUAUAUAUGAUGCAUUCAAAUUCGGAGUGGAAAAAAUUAUUAAUUAGUUCAAAUCAAAUAAAUUGAAGGAUUAGAUAGUAAAAUCGAAAUUUUUAAAGAUUAGGUACUUAAGUCCAAAAUUGUGAUAAGCGUGGUAAGUUUUAUACAUUUUUAUCAAAUAAAUAAAGGGUAAAGCGCUUUCUUAUUAUUGUAUCUUGUAAUUUAAAGUAUCUUAUAUUAUUACUAUGUAGUUUUAUUUUUCUAUUUUCGUCAGCACCUCCGUUAACUUUUCGUUAAAUCAUAUAUAAAAAACUUCAGAUACUCCACGUAUGAUUUAUCAAAUAUUCACCUUAGCACCUUGUGAUUUUAACUUUGCCACUGAUUUAAUAAAAAAAUUAACAAAGAGAAUAAAAAAAAAGAGAAAAAUAAAACUACACGAUAGGAAAGCGAUAUAUUUUUAACUAUAGGGUAGUAAAAUUGGAAACCGUGAAAUCGCAGGAUGGUAUUUGAAGUUUUUCUAAAAAUAAAAAAGUGCGGUGUAUU